rnacentral:misc_RNA from 1 species
GUGAAUCAUCGAAUUUUUGAACGCAAAUUGCGCUUCUUGGUAUUCCGGGAAGUAUGCCUGUUUGAGGGUCAGUAUUCACAAAAAAUCGGUUUGCUCGCAAAUUGUGCCGUUUCCGGGGUGUGGGCUUAUCUUAAAUUUUCUGGUUAAGGAGCUUAAAAUUGACCUUUUUUGUGCAUUUUUAGUCGACCAAAAAUUUUUUUUUAUUCGUCUAUUCUUCAUGCCAAACUCUUACUA